rnacentral:rRNA from 1 species
UACGUAGGGUGCAAGCGUUAUCCGGAAUUAUUGGGCGUAAAGAGCUCGUAGGCGGUUUGUCGCGUCUGCUGUGAAAACUGGAGGCUCAACCUCCAGCCUGCAGUGGGUACGGGCAAACUAGAGUGCGGUAGGGGAGAUUGGAAUUCCUGGUGUAGCGGUGAAAUGCGCAGAUAUCAGGAGGAACACCGGUGGCGAAGGCGGGUCUCUGGGCCGUUACUGACGCUGAGGAGCGAAAGCGUGGGGAGCGAACAGG